UUUGGGUUAAGAAUGGACCUCUGGAAUGAAUUAAGUUCGUAACCACUGUAUUUUUCAAAACUUUUUUUUAAAAGCAUUUUCAUAGUGUUUUUUAAUACAGUGGUACCUCGGAUUAAGAACUUAAUUCGUUCCAGAGGUCCAUUCUUAACCUGAA